rnacentral:rRNA from 1 species
UACGUAGGGGGCUAGCGUUGUCCGGAAUCAUUGGGCGUAAAGAGCGUGUAGGCGGCCCGGUAAGUCCGCUGUGAAAGUCGGGGGCUCAACCCUCGGAUGCCGGUGGAUACUGUCGGGCUCGAGUACGGAAGAGGCGAGUGGAAUUCCUGGUGUAGCGGUGGAAUGCGUAGAGAUCCGGAGGAACACCAGCGGCGAAGGCGGCGUCCUGGACUGGUACUGACGCUCAGGAGCGAAAGCGUGGGGAGCGAUCCGG